CUUUGUUCUCACUCUACAAGCAGUGUGGCAGUGUGUGAAUGAGAGAAAAAGCACUGUGCAGCACCACCUUCAUUACUCACCGCACCGGUGUGUGGCCGAGGUGACAACAGAUGGAGACGGACUCGGAGAGGGAGCCAUUUUCAAGUCUACACUGAAGCCAUUACCUCAGCUACCACAGAGAUGACAAUGACAUUUUCAGUCACCGCGUAACUCAGCUAUAAACUGGAGCUGUUUGAUAUGAAAGGCAUCCAUUUCGUUUUAUGUUGCUGUGGUGCAUGAGUUCAAUACAUGUGUUUUCUUUGACAA